AUUGAACGCUGGCGGCAUGCUUUACACAUGCAAGUCGAACGGUAACAGGCCGCAAGGUGCUGACGAGUGGCGAACGGGUGAGUAAUGCAUCGGAACGUGCCCAGUCGUGGGGGAUAACGCAGCGAAAGCUGCGCUAAUACCGCAUACGAUCUAUGGAUGAAAGCGGGGGACCGUAAGGCCUCGCGCGAUUGGAGCGGCCGAUGUCAGAUUAGGUAGUUGGUGGGGGAAAGGACUACCAAGCCGACGAUCUGUAGCUGGUCCGAGAGGACGACCAGCCACACUGGGACUGAGACACGGCCCAGACUCCUACGGGAGGCAGCAGUGGGGAAUUUUGGACAAUGGGCGCAAGCCUGAUCCAGCAAUGCCGCGUGCAGGAAGAAGGCCUUCGGGUUGUAAACUGCUUUUGUACGGAACGAAACGGCCUGGGUUAAUACCCUGGGCUAAUGACGGUACCGUAAGAAUAAGCACCGGCUAACUACGUGCCAGCAGCCGCAGUAACAC
rnacentral:rRNA from 1 species